rnacentral:misc_RNA from 1 species
GAUGAAGAACGUAGCGAAAUGCGAUAAGUAGUGUGAAUUGCAGAUUUCAGUGAAUCAUCGAAUCUUUGAACGCACAUUGCGCCCGCGAGUAUUCUCGCGGGCAUGCCUGUCCGAGCGUCAUUUCAACCCUCAGGGCCCGCCUGCUUCGGCAGGCGCGGCGCUGGUGUUGGGGAUCGGCCUAACCGCCGUCCCCCAAAUACAGUGGCGGUCUCGCUGCAGCCUCCCCUGCGUAGUAGCAACACUCGCAUGCGGAGCGCGGCGCGGCCACGCCGUAAAACCCCCGACUUUCUGAACGUUGACCUCGGAUCAGGUAGGAAUACCCGCUGAACUUAAGCAUAUCAAUAAGCGGAGGA